AAUAAUAUUUUUGGUUGCAGCUUCAUAGUGUUUAAUUGUUUCACAGUUGAUUCCUGAGCUUUAAACAAACAAACAGACAAAAAAAAACCAACUGCUGAUUUCUCCCUUAUUUACCAGCAUCAAGAACAAGUGUUUAAUAAUACGGUGGAUGGAAAAGAAAUCUACAAUACAAUUCGUCGCAAAACAAAGGAUGCUUUUUAUAAAAAUAUUGUCAAAAAAGGUUAUCUUCUAAAAAAAAGUAAGGGGAAGAGAUGGAAAAACUUGUACUUUAUAUUGGAGGGAAAUGAUGCCCAUCUUAUUUAUUUUGAAAGUGAAAAACGAGCCACAAAACCUAAAGGUUUAAUAGACCUUAGUGUGUGUUCCAUCUAUGGAGUACAUGACAGUUUAUUUGGCAGGUACGACACUGAUUUUUUAAUGCUUGUACAUGCAGCAGGGCAGUUAACUGCUAGUUUGAGGCAUGUACAGUACAUGGACAAUGUGUCAGUAAUGAACAAGGUGUUUUUUGUGUGUGUUUUUUUUUUCUGAUUGUGAAAUGUAAGCAUUGUGACUGUUGGUUUAUAUUGUGUUUUAUUCCGUAGUUGGUAUAGAUUGCAAGAGUGUAUGUAGACAGAUUUAACUGAUUAAUGGUAACUUGUUAAGCCAUGGCAACUUGACUGCUAGCAACUGUUCAUAAACAAAUUCUAGUAAGAAAUUUUAGAACUUAGUCUUAAGAUUGUCUUGUGUGUAAUAAUGAUUUGGGCUCUUGCAUUGUCAUUUUUCAAUAUUGCGUAUUAAUUGUUCCCCAUUUUGUAUUACAGGCAUUAAAAAGAUUAUGAAGCAACUCUAUUGAGGGUUUUAAUCCUAUUGAACCAAAAAUUGACAAGAUCAAGGAUUUUGUCAAUUCCAAAAGAUCUGCAUUCUUUUGUUGAUAGGUAUUAGAAAGCUAAAUUGGGGGGUUGAAACUACUCUAUGUUCAAUGCUCCUUACAGUCAAACAGCAGAAAUGUAUUAGUUCAAUGUGAACUUUGAUUUGGCAGAUAUCAAGAAAUGGAGGCAUUUGUCAAUACUACAAAGAUUAAUAAACCUUAUGGGUUUUGUUCCUUUAUUAAGGCCAAACUGUUUUCAGAUAGUAGUUCAGCACUUCAGUGAAGAGCAUUACAUCUUUUACUUUGCAGGAGAAACUCCAGAACAAACACAGGACUGGAUGAAGGCUCUGCAGAUGUUUUGCAGUUUAAGAAAAAACAGUCCAGGGAAAUCCAAUAAACGUCUACGUCAGGUCAGCAGUCUUAUUUUGCAUGUAGAAGAAGCUCAUACACUCCCAGUAAAACAUUUUACUAAUCCGUAUUGUAACAUC